AUCCAGAUGACGAGUCCAAAAUGGACGAAAUUCGCAUCCCGGAU
rnacentral:hammerhead_ribozyme from 1 species